rnacentral:rRNA from 1 species
AUACGUAGGUGGCAAGCGUUAUCCGGAUUUACUGGGUGUAAAGGGUGUGUAGGCGGGACUGCAAGUCAGAUGUGAAAAUCAUGGGCUCAACUCAUGACCUGCAUUUGAAACUGUGGUUCUUGAGGGUCGGAGAGGUAACCGGAAUUCCUGGUGUAGCGGUGAAAUGCGUAGAUAUCAGGAGGAACACCGGUGGCGAAGGCGGGUUACUGGACGAUUACUGACGCUGAGACACGAAAGCGUGGGGAGCAAACAGGAUUAGAUACCCUGGUAGUCCACGCUGUAAACGAUGAAUGCUAGGUGUGGGGACGUAAGUUUCCGUGCCGGAGUUAACACAAUAAGCAUUCCACCUGGGGAGUACGGCCGCAAGGUUGAAACUCAAAUGAAUUGGCGGGG